rnacentral:rRNA from 1 species
CUGGCUCAGGACGAACGCUGGCGGCGUGCUUAACACAUGCAAGUCGAACGGUAAGGCCCUUCGGGGUACACGAGUGGCGAACGGGUGAGUAACACGUGGGUGAUCUGCCCUGCACUUCGGGAUAAGCCCGGGAAACUGGGUCUAAUACCGGAUAGGACUGCGCGGUGCAUGCCGUGUGGUGGAAAGAUUUAUCGGUGCAGGAUGGGCCCGCGGCCUAUCAGCUUGUUGGUGGGGUAAUGGCCUACCAAGGCGACGACGGGUAGCCGGCCUGAGAGGGCGACCGGCCACACUGGGACUGAGACACGGCCCAGACUCCUACGGGAGGCAGCAGUGGGGAAUAUUGCACAAUGGGCGCAAGCCUGAUGCAGCGACGCCGCGUGAGGGAUGACGGCCUUCGGGUUGUAAACCUCUUUCAGCAGGGACGAAGCGCAAGUGACGGUACCUGCAGAAGAAGCACCGGCCAACUACGUGCCAGCAGCCGCGGUAAUACGUAGGGUGCAAGCGUUGUCCGGAAUUACUGGGCGUAAAGAGCUCGUAGGCGGUUUGUCGCGUCGUCUGUGAAAACCAGCAGCUCAACUGUUGGCUUGCAGGCGAUACGGGCAGACUUGAGUAUUUCAGGGGAGACUGGAAUUCCUGGUGUAGCGGUGAAAUGCGCAGAUAUCAGGAGGAACACCGGUGGCGAAGGCGGGUCUCUGGGAAAUAACUGACGCUGAGGAGCGAAAGCGUGGGUAGCGAACAGGAUUAGAUACCCUGGUAGUCCACGCCGUAAACGGUGGGCGCUAGGUGUGGGUUUCCUUCCACGGGAUCCGUGCCGUAGCUAACGCAUUAAGCGCAC